AGGACGAACGCUGGCGGCGUGCUUAACACAUGCAAGUCGAGCGGUGAUCCUCCUUCGGGGGGUGAUCAGCGGCGAACGGGUGAGUAACACGUGGGCAACCUGCCCCUCACACUGGGAUAACCUCGGGAAACCGGGGCUAAUACCGGAUACGACCUCGAGCGGCAUCUCUUGAGGUGGAAAGCUCCGACGGUGAGGGAUGGGCCCGCGGCCUAAUCAGCUUGUGGUGGGUAAUGGCCUACCAAGCGACG
rnacentral:rRNA from 1 species